UAGGGAAUCUUCGGCAAUGGACGAAAGUCUGACCGAGCAACGCCGCGUGAGUGAAGAAGGUUUUCGGAUCGUAAAACUCUGUUGUUAGAGAAGAACAAGGACGUUAGUAACUGAACGUCCCCUGACGGUAUCUAACCAGAAAGCCACGGCUAACUACGUGCCAGCAGCCGCGGUAAUACGUAGGUGGCAAGCGUUGUCCGGAAUUAUUGGGCGUAAUGCGAGCGCAGGCGGUUUCUUAAGUCUGAUGUGAAAGCCCCCGGCUCAACCGGGGAGGGUCAUUGGAAACUGGGAGACUUGAGUGCAGAAGAGGGGAGUGGAAUUCCAGGAGUAGCGGUGAAAUGCGUAGAUAUAUGGAGGAACACCAGUGGCGAAGGCGGCUCUCUGGUCUGUAACUGACGCUGAGGCUCGAAAGCGUGGGGAGCAAACAGG
rnacentral:rRNA from 1 species